rnacentral:rRNA from 1 species
UACGUAGGGUGCGAGCGUUAAUCGGAAUUACUGGGCGUAAAGCGUGCGCAGGCGGUUCUCCAAGUCCGUUGUGAAAGCCCCGGGCUCAACCUGGGAACUGCGUUUGGUACUGGCAAGCUAGAGUACGGCAGAGGGGGGUGGAAUUCCACGUGUAGCAGUGAAAUGCGUAGAGAUGUGGAGGAACACCGAUGGCGAAGGCAGCCCCCUGGGCCGAUACUGACGCUCAGGCACGAAAGCGUGGGGAGCAAACAGG